rnacentral:tRNA from 1 species
GGUCGGGUAGCUCAGUUGGUAGAGCGUCCGCCUGAAAAGCGGAAGGUCACCGGAUCGAUGCCGGUCCCGACCA